ACAUGUUCUGUUGAACUUUGAUGGUCUCAUCUCUGAAAUGAGAAGGAAACACAGCUCUCGUGGUUCGCUGGUCCUGUGUCUAGCCUCCAGAGGGCGGUGUUGCAUGGUGGAGCCAUAGGUUUUGUUGCAGCUCACAUCCCCUCAGCCCCUCCUCAUCUGCAGCGGGCUGACUCUGUCCUCACUGAUGUCUGUGUAGACAGGAAACUGAUGAGAAUAAGAGCUCAGAAAAGAUCCAAACUCACUAAAAGAAAGACACUUUUGAACAGUUUUGAAACUUGUGAACGCAAGGGACUUGCUCAGCCUAACGUCCCCACUCCUCAUCAAGCUCCGAAGGCUCGGCGCCCUGCCAACCAUCCACCUGCUCGGGAGCCUGCCGCGUUCCCGUGCUCAGCCAUGCUCCUGCAGCUCAUCCCAGUGCUUCACGUGGCUUUUACCCUGAGAGGAACCAGAGCCCAGUCAGUGACCCAGCCUAAUGGCCACAUCACCGUCUCUGAAAGAGACCGUCUGGAGCUGAGAUGUAACUACUCGUCUUCUGUUCCCCCGUAUCUCUUCUGGUACGUGCAAUACCCCAACCAAGGACUCCAGCUUCUCCUGAAGUACACGUCUGGAAACAACCUUGUUCCAGGCAUCAAAGGUUUUGAGGCCGAAUUUAAGAAGAGUGAAACCUCCUUCCACCUGAAGAAACCCUCAGCCCAUUGGAGCGACUCAGCCCAGUACUUCUGUUCUCUGAGUGACACAGUGCCUGGAACUGCAGGGGGAGCUGCACGCAAACCUCCCGAGACACUGGGGACUUUUUGUGACUCAAGAACUCAAGAGAGAAUUUUCAAGAAGGUCUCUUUUUUUGUCAGAACUGGAGUUCGAUAA